GCUGGGCAUGGUAGCACAUGCCUGUAAUUCCAGCCACUUAAGAGACUGAGGUAGGAGGAUCCUGAGUGCAGGGCCAGCCUGGAAACCAUAGUGAGACCCUAUCUCAA
rnacentral:sRNA from 1 species